rnacentral:rRNA from 1 species
UACGUAGGGGGCAAGCGUUAUCCGGAUUUACUGGGUGUAAAGGGUGCGUAGACGGCAGUGCAAGUCUGAAGUGAAAGGCGGGGGCCCAACCCCCGAACUGCUUUGGAAACUGUGCUGCUGGAGUGCAGGAGAGGCAAGUGGAAUUCCUAGUGUAGCGGUGAAAUGCGUAGAUAUUAGGAGGAACACCAGUGGCGAAGGCGGCUUGCUGGACUGUAACUGACGUUGAGGCUCGAAAGCGUGGGGAGCAAACAGG